rnacentral:rRNA from 1 species
CCUUCUUUUUCCCUCUUUCUCCUUCUUUCCUUUUUUUCCCUUUUUCUUCUUUUUUCCUUCCCGUCCGUGGUGAAAUCUCCGGGCUUAACCCGGAAACUGCCGUUGAUACUAUUUGUCUUGAAUAUUGUGGAGGUAAGCGGAAUAUGUCAUGUAGCGGUGAAAUGCUUAGAUAUGACAUAGAACACCAAUUGCGAAGGCAGCUUACUACACAACGAUUGACGCUGAGGCACGAAAGCGUGGGGAUCAAACAGGA